GUUUAUUAUAAAUUGUUAUGUAGAGAGUUUAUUUUUUUACUAUGUUUGUUGGCUCAACUCUAUUUGUAUGAUUAAUGUGAACAAAUAAAUUUAUUAUUAUUAUUUGGGAGCUAUCACACGCGCUGACACAUGAUUCCAGCUGGUGCAUUAUGACGACGAACGUAAGCGUGUAGUGGCCGAACCAGUGGAGUUGUCACAGUAAUUCCGCAAGUUCGACCUCUCGAAUCCGUGGGAACUGUUCCCCAACUACCGAGAUGCUCCCCCAGCAGCCGAAGAAAUUCCCAUCAAUACUGAGUCCAAGAAGUAGACGUUCCCGACCCCAUCAAAUGUUUCAGUAAGUAUAUAAAUACUAUGUUAUGUUACUACAAACAUAAAAAAAUAUUAGAAAAUCA